rnacentral:ribozyme from 1 species
GCUGCUCAGAUAAUCACACACCUCUUCGUGGUGAGCAGUAGGCAACGAUUUAUUCUGGUCGGCUGAGAUGUGAAG